AAAACUGAUGCCCUGGGAAUGAGAACUGACUGAUUUUAGUGUAACAGUGGACUUUUUUUCUUUACUAAGUUGAGUCUCUGUCCUGAAGUAAUAUGGAUUACUGCAGUAGCUGAAUAAAACGGUUUGCUGUGUACCAACACUUUCAAACUCUGAAGGUGACAGAGUCAUUUACCUGGUUACCUUUGCUGAAAAUGAAUAAAUGAUUAUAAAGUAACUUUUAGCAUUGUCUUACUGUUUUUUAGAUGGUUGAAAAGUAAAACAAGACUGAAGUUUGAAUGGAAACACAAAGGCUUAUUCAUGCAACACAAAGGCUUUUGUGCCAUGAUGUCAGAGCAAAGAAUGAUGGAUGAUGAAAUCAGAAGGUGCACAAAGAAAGAAAACAGAGGUGAACAGGUGGAUCAAAACAGAAGAGUGACUCAAGCGGCAGUAAAUCACCUUCCAAUCUCCAAGAAUACAGCACAUUAUAUGAGAAUUUCUGAUGGAUAUAUGAGACCGUGUCAUAUUUCAACCAUCGAGCGAGAAGAAGAAGGUCCAAAAUAGUCAAACAUUUGCACUGAAGGAACCAAAGAUCAUUUAUGGACUUCCUAAGAGGGAAGAGAGAGUCCUGCACCGUCUCUAAGCCUUGUCCAGGGGGGUGUUAAAGCACUGAUGUGUUUCAUCUUUGACCUCAACAGGUGCAAUAAACUGAUUAAAGGUCAGGGAAGAUUUGUCUUUUCUCCAAUAAAGAGUUAACACGCAGCCAGUAACAUCACAUGUCUGCUGUAAGAAAAAAAAAGCACAGGAACAGCAUGAUCCAAAGGGGUGGUUUUAUUUUUUCUGUAAACAUGUGCUCAGAAAUCAUAGAAAAAUAAAGCUCAGAAGUUGUCUGUUUGCUCUUUCUGCACAGAGCAAACAGCAGCUGCUAAAAGUGAAUUCAGCUGAAUUUAAUGGCGCUAAGUGAUCAAAUUUACGCAGACACAGAUUCCUCCAAAUAUAGCUUAAGAUUCUGAACUUUGCGCACAGACAGCUCGUUCAGUUUAAACGGACAGUCGAUCAAACAGCGAAGCAGUGAGAUUGAAAACAGUCUGGUGACAGCGUGACAGACAGUCUGACCUUUAUCACUGGAUGAUAUCAAUAGAAACACACACACACACUCACACACAUAUGAGCCCCAUGACUGGACAGAGAGGUCUGUGUGACAGGAAGUGGCAGAGGAACCAUCCUCAGGCCUUUGUUUGAUCCGUGUUAGACUUUUUCUUUCUUUUCUUUCUUUUUGUGGCCAACUGCUGGUCAGACAGUGUUGCUGAUACAGCCACAGACACAUUCACUUCCUGGGCAUGCAGUUCAUUCUGGCCCCGCACCGUACAGAUACACAGGAAAGAAGCUGUAACAGAUUUUUUUUCCAAAAGAAAAAUUUAAAGAGAUUAAUUUAACUAGUUUAAGCCACACAUUUAACAUCAUUUCACACAUUUUUGUUUAAAUGAUAGUUUAACACUAUAAACACAUCGACCUGAUGCACUGAGUGAAAAUUAAAAGUAAACAAAGCACAAAAGUAUAAACAUUAUACUUAAAAAUACUUUAAUAGCUUUGUUUUUUCACCAUAAAACUAUAAACAUUAUAAUGUUUGCAACAUAUAUCUACACGCAUUAGUCAACUCUGAAAAUAAAGUUACUGAAAACAGUUACAAUAACUUUAAUUUCACAGAGUUUUGACCUAAUUGGCAAAAUUUACGGAAAACUAAUAAUUAAAAAUAUAUUGUAUAUAUUAUUUAUUACUCUUAUAAAUUCACACAUUUUAG
rnacentral:lncRNA from 1 species